AGAGUUUGAUUCUGGCUCAGAACGAACGCUGGCAGCGUGGAUUAGGCAUGCAAGUCGAACGAGAAGCUGGAGAUUCAAUCCCUCGGGAGAGAAUCAUCAGUGGAUAAUGGCGGAAGGGUGAGUAACGCGUGGGCAAUCUGCCCUCAAGUUGGGGAUAACUUCGCGAAAGCGGAGCUAAUACCGAAUGUGAACUUUCCAGGCAUCUGGAAAGUUCAAAGGUGGGGACCUUUAGGGGCCUAUCGCUUGGGGAGGAGCCCGCGUCCUAUCAGCUUGUUGGUGAGGUAAUGGCUCACCAAGGCUUACGGGUAGCUGGUCUGAGAGGAUGGUCAGCCACACUGGGACUGAGACACUGCCCAGACUCCUACGGGAGGCUGCAGUCGAGGAUCAUUCGCAAUGCGCGAAAGCGUGACGAUGCGACGCUGCGUGGAGGAUGACGGCCUUAGGGUUGUAAACUCCUGUCAUUCAGGAACAAUUGUUCCGGUGUUAAUAGCACCGGAAUUUGAUGGUACUGGAAGAGGAAGCCACGGCUAACUCUGUGCCAGCAGCCGCGGUAACACAGAGGUGGCAAGCGUUGUUCGGAUUUACUGGGCGUAAAGGGUGCGUAGGCGGUUACUGCAUGUCGGAUGUGAAAUGCUAUCGCUCAACGAUAGGAGUGCAUUCGAAACUGCGUAACUAGAGGACAGGAUAGGAGAGCGGAAUUCUUGGUGUAGCGGUGGAAUGCGUUGAUAUCAAGAGGAACACCGGUGGCGAAGGCGGCUCUCUGGAAUGUUACUGACGCUGAGGCACGAAAGUUGGGGUAGCAAACAGGAUUAGAUACCCUGGUAGUCCCAACCGUAAAUGGUGUGCACUUGGUGUUGGGGGAUUUGACCCCCUCAGUGCCGGAGCUAACGCGUUAAGUGCACCGCCUGGGGAGUACGGCCGCAAGGCUAAAACUCAAAGAAAUUGACGGGGGCCCGCACAAGCGGAGGAGCAUGUGGCUCAAUUCGAUGCAACGCGAAGAACCUUACCAGGGCUUGACAUGCAGCUGCAGACCUCCCGAAAGGGAGGAGGCCUUUGAGGGUGCUGCACAGGUGCUGCAUGGCUGUCGUCAGUUCGUGCCGUGAGGUGUUGGGUUAAGUCCCGCAACGAACGCAACCCCUGUACCUAGUUGCCACCCCAGAUGAUGAAUUUGGGAGCACUCUAUGUAGACUGCCCGUGCAAGCGGGAGGAAGGUGGGGAUGACGUCAAGUCAGUAUGGCCCUUACGCCCUGGGCUGCACACGUGCUACAAUGGCCGGUACAAUGGGACGCAAUACCGCGAGGUGGAGCAAAUCCCCAAAGCCGGCCCCAGUUCGGAUUGGAGUCUGCAAUUCGACUCCAUGAGGUUGGAUUCGCUAGUAAUGGCGCAUCAGCUACGGCGCCGUGAAUACGUUCCCGGGCCUUGUACACACCGCCCGUCACAUCAUGAAAGCUCUCUGCACCCGAAGCCGCUGUACCAACUCGCAUCUCGUGAGAGGAAGGCGCCGAAGGUGUGGGGGGUGAUUGGGA
rnacentral:rRNA from 1 species